UCUGAAAACAAACCCUACUACCUCCACACAGGCAUUAAUCGUUUCAGGUAAUGCAAAUGUGAUAAUGGCCCCGUCCUAAUACAACACAUCUCAUGUCCAAUUGAGGGGCUGAAACAUAUUCUCCAAAUCUGCUCAGUUUGACUUGCAUAUUUUAUUGCUUAUUCACUAAACCACAAAUUGCAGGUGAUUAUAUCCAAGUUUUUGUGAUAGCUGAAGGUUUUUUUUUUGGGUAUGUAAAACAAUCUGUUUGUUUAAAUGGUGCAGUUUGAAUUUUCAAUCCACUAUGAUUCACAGUUUAUGGACUAAGCC